UCACGCAAUAAAUUUUAUCGG
rnacentral:piRNA from 1 species